UACAGAGGUCCCAAGCGUUGUUCGGAUUCAUUGGGCGUAAAGGGUGCGUAGGCGGCGCGGUAAGUCGGGUGUGAAAUCUCGGGGCUUAACUCCGAAACUGCAUUCGAUACUGCCGUGCUUGAGGACUGGAGAGGAGACUGGAAUUUACGGUGUAGCGGUGAAAUGCGUAGAUAUCGUAAGGAAGACCGUGGCGAAGGCGGGUCUCGUGGACAGU
rnacentral:rRNA from 1 species